CUAAGAAUAUCCGCAAUGGACGGAAGUCUGACGGAGCGACGCCGCGUGGAUGACGAAGGCCGAAAGGUUGUAAAGUUCUUUUGCUGGGGAAGAAUAACCGCAGGAGGGAAUGCCUGUGGGAUGACAAGAACCGGCGAAUAAGCCCCGGCCAACUACGUGCCAGCAGCCGCGGUAACACGUAGGGGGCGAGCGUUGUUCGGAAUUACUGGGCGUAAAGGGCAUGUAGGCGGCUUGGAAAGCCUGGCGUGAAAGUCUGCAGCUUAACUGCAGGGGUGCGCUGGGAACUGCUGAGCUUGAGUGACGGAGAGGGAGCUGGAAUUCCUGGUGUAGGGGUGAAAUCUGUGGAUAUCAGGAAGAACACCGAUGGCGAAGGCAAGCUCCUGGCCGAUGACCGACGCUGAGGUGCGAAAGUGUGGGGAUCAAAACAGGGUUAGAUACCCUGGUAGUCCACACAGUCAACGAUGUGCACUAGGUGCUGGGGCGGUAGCUUCGGUGCCGGAGCGAACGUGGUAAGUGCACCGCCUGGGGAGUAUGCUCGCAAGGGUGAAACUUAAAUGAAUUGACGGGGUCAUAGCUGUUUCCU
rnacentral:rRNA from 1 species